GACGGAAGGUGCAAGCGUUGCUCGGAAUCAUUGGGCGUAAAGGGUGCGUAGGCGGCGCGGUAAGUCGGGUGUGAAAUCUCGGGGCUUAACUCCGAAACUGCAUUCGAUACUACCGUGCUUGAGGACUGGAGAGGAGACUGGAAUUUACGGUGUAGCGGUGAAAUGCGUAGAUAUCGUAAGGAAGACCAGUGGCGAAGGCGGGUCUCUGGACAGUUCCUGACGCUGAGGCACGAAGGCUAGGGGAGCAAACGGG
rnacentral:rRNA from 1 species